rnacentral:lncRNA from 1 species
CUGUCGGUCUGGCGAUACGGAUAAUAGAUGCGGUUUGGUUUAUUGAGGCUCAUAUAACCCGGCCGGCCAGUUCCAAGCCGUCUGUUAGUCUAAUUUGAAACACAACCGAGGCUAGACACUGUUAUACGUUCAAAUUAACAGUAUAUUUCAAGUUGUGAGUGAGGCUGGAUCCUGUUAUUUUAUUACUGUGAACAGACAUAACCUCAAACAAGAAACUCUGUUCAGAGAAAUACUUAAAGCCUGUAUUUGGCUUCAACAAUUCCGAACAAAAUGGAAAAUGUAUAUUUUGCAACAGUGGCUGGGAAUACUGGACGUUGCAAAACAUUUAAUUGCAGUGAAUCAUGAACCUGUAAGUACACUUAUGCAUGGGCGGUAAGGGUCGGCGCACACCGUACAAAGUUGCGAGUAAUUUAUGGCGGACCGGUUUAUGGGCCCUGAGCUAAGUUCGCACAUGCACCGACGCAACUUGUAUAGAAGUCAUAAAUAUCCGCUAAUCCCUUCCAUGAGGUCAGAUGCUGUUGGCAAUCUUCAUUGAAAUACACGUCUUGUUCUGGUUAUAAGGAUAAAAGCUGAACACUGCUGGA